rnacentral:misc_RNA from 1 species
UUGAAAAGGAAUAAUUACGUAUGAACUUAAUUAGUAAAAUAUUAGAAACAACAUCCUUCAUUUUAUACAUCGCCAUAGCUGGUUUGGUUUGAAGAAUCUAACUUGGUGUUUUUUCUAGCUAUUGCAAGGAGGAUGGCCUAUAGCAUACCGACCAGCACAACUUGGAUAAACCACUCUGAAGCUCCCUCCUACUUAGGAGUUCAAAGACACUUAUCAUAUUUAAUAUCAAUAUCACUGCAGCAUCCUAUUCAUUCUUUUCCCUGUGAUUUUCACAUUCAUUCUAUUUCUUACAAAAAAAAUCAAACUUAACAAUUGCUGUAUUUGCCUAAUCCAAUGUGGGGUUCUACCCAACGGCACCCUGUUGACCUUAUUGACAUGCCACUAGCAGAUCAUGACCUAAGAAAAUUGAGAGAACAUCAUAUACAAGUUAAUCACCUUAUGGACUUACAAGAGAUAGCAAUACCUUCCAAUGAAGCUAUGCAUGUACAGGUAUAGAUGAGCUCAUGGAUACACAACCUUUCAACCGUUCAAGGAUGACAUUUCUGCUGACAAGCCCUGGGUGUGAAGUAAGAGGAAGGCCCUCUUUGACACAUUCAUCAUACUUCUCCAAAGCAGAAACUAUGUAACUGAAGUCUGGUCGUUUAGAUGGGUUUGCUGCCCAGCAACGCUUUAUCAAGUGUGCAAGUGCGGGCUGACAACUUGCUGGCAAUGGAGGCCGCUCAUUCUGCCACCACAAGAAAAUUGAUACAAGAUGAAACUAGCAUCAAGCUUUUCCCUAUUUCCCCUAACCUUUGGGGUAGAAAUUGCAGUUCAAAGUUCAAAACAUCAAUAGAUAUUUAGCAACAAAAAUAUAGGCCAAUGCAAAAAUGGAAACUUGACAAUUAUGUCCAAUUUAAGGACCCUGCAUAUAAUUUCCAUUUUCAUAAUCUCUGCAUGUUUAUGCAUCUCGGAUCCCCAUAUCUUCUGCAGAUUUAAGGAUAGGAGCCUCACAGAUAAUUUCAUUUUCUAGUUGAACUUCUAUAUUGCUCAUUUUUAUAUUUGUUUCAAGAUUCAGAAUUCAAAUAAAUUCUGGUUUGCAUUUGAAGCAAGGCGUCCUUUCUACAUGUAACAGCCAUAGCGGAAGCUCUCAGCUCCCUUGCAUACACUUCCUAACAUGACUAAUCAUGAGCUUCCAUUGUGUUAUUUGUGUCCAUAAGUUUAGUUUGUUCUUGCAUGCAGCAGACCAUCCAGAGGAAUACUGGGAGUUUUAUUUUCUUAACAUUGAACUGUUAGCCAUUGAUUUUUUUUUUUUUGCAAUAAAUACAACAGGCAAAACAGCACAAAGGGAAAACCUAAAAGUCUGAGAACAGUAGGGCAGCAGGAGGCCGGCAGCCAAAUUGCAUAGGAAGUUGGUAGAGGUGAGAACAAUGAAGCACCUUUUUUUUUGUGUGAUGUUAAAUGGUCAAAGAGCAAUGCAUAACUGACAACACUAGAGAAGAAAAGAUCAAUCUGCUCUCAUGUACUAGGAAAAGGAAUGUAGAGAAAGAGUGGCAAAACUCUUCAUGCAGAGUCCAUUAAGGAUUUUCAGCGUUAAAGCUGUGGCCUGUAAAUAGCAAUUAUAAUAUAUGCAGUGAGAAAUCACAUUGCAAAUUUUUCUAAAAGAUAAAUUCCUUUCUAUAUUAAUAUAUACCUCUCAACUUGUGGUACCCCUUGCUUUGGUGUGCAAACCCAAGCAAGCUACACAGCAAUCACUAUCAAAGGAUGAACUUAGGGCCUUGUAAUGCAUUAUUCAAUUCAAAAAAAAAAAAUCACUAUCAAAGGAACAAGCAUAUCAAGACCAAACCUUUGCAGCACUACUUGGGUAAAAUUAUCAAAGCAAGUAUGCUCCUUAUCCUUAAGUGAUAAAUCAAACAUUUCAGUGUGGAAAAAAAAAUGAAUGUUUCGCUCUUCAUAUUUAGAAGAAGAAACUUUCCAAGAUUGUUUUCUACUAACUUGUACCAAAAUGAAUAAUGCUCUUUCAGAGUCUACUAGCAUCAAAAUGUUACGCAAUAGAUAUCUGAAACUUUCCACCUAGAUUACAUACAGUAGGUAAAAAAUCUUAUUUAGUACGCAAUUAGGAGUGACUGCCCAAAAAACCUUUAACAGCUAUGGAUAAAUAAGAUAAAGAUCACCAAAUCAACAAAGAAAGUAGCUGAACAAAUAGAAUUAACAUAAUCUCCUCCUCUCUUCUAAGUGUUAGCGCUAAAAAUAUGUUUUACUAUUUUAGGCGACUCUGCCCUCACAUAAUGUACUAUUCAUGAAUACUUAAAAACAAAAGAUUCGCAUAAGACACUCCAAGUUCUACAGUUUGUAUACCAAAGGUAGGCAGCUGAGAGGUGAAUUUUGUUCAAAAUAUUGUGCAUAAAACAUUAUUUCUAAUCAUCUACAUUUGUGGCCUAUACAGGUCUAAAACAAACCAAUAUCACCCAUAUCGAAUGACCUCCUUGACGUAGUUUGAAAUAAAUUGCAAAACAAUACAAAUUUGCUUUUCUAACUCUUCCAUUAAAAUUUUAAAUUUUCAUUAAUUAGGCACUUCAAUCACAGGAGCUUUAGAAUGAAACAAAUUAAAUCUUCACCUUCUGUUUUGCACUGCAGAGGAAUAUCAAAGAAAUGAAAUAUUCGUUGCUACUAAUAAUUAAAGAAAGAAUAUAUAACAAGUAGAAGUAGAUAACUAGAUCAUCUUCGAUUCCAAUUGUUAGAGAUUAAGAUAUCAUAUUGAAAAUGUAAAACAAUAUAAAAGGGCUUAUAUGUUGUUAGAGUUUAGGCUUUUAGGUUGGAUAAGUGUCUCUCACACCAACUAUUAUAAACUAUGAAGAGCUAUGUCAUGAGGACGUGCAAAACUUGCAGAAACAUGGACAGGGUCCAUAAAAAUGUCUUCUUCAAAUUUCAAUGCAAACUAGAACAUCAUCAUCAUAGCAUUUCAUUGUGAAGCUCAGUCAUUUAAUUUGUCUAAUGCUCUGAUACAGUCUCAACCAAAACAUGGAACUAAUUCGGACAUUUAUUCCCAUUCUAUAGUACUGUUAGCAGAAAACAAUUAAAGUCAUUGAAGAGAAAGAUAAGAAUUCAAUAAAGGGAUGGUCAAAAACAAAAAAAUCAUGCAAAGGAAGAAAUCUAGCAAUGAGCAUAUUAUAUUUUAAAUUAAUAUGAUGAAAUUUGCAUCAACAUGUAGCUAUCUGACCUUCUCAGCCACAGCAAAUGCAGCCUGUACAGGGGUGAUUCCUUGAAAGGGAAGCAAAGCUGUAGUGAGCUCCCAUAACACAAUCCCAAAGCUAUAAACAUCAACUUUUCGAGUAUAUGGUUUUUCCUUGAUCAUCUCAGGCGCCAUCCAGCGGUAAGUUCCCUUGUUUCCUUUGGUUUCUCGGCACUGUGUUUCUAGACAAGAUGUACCAAAAUCUGCUACCUUAACCCGCAUUUCAUCAUUUAAAAGCAAAUUAUUUGAUUUGAGAUCUCUGUGGAUCACUCCUUGUGAAUGAAGAUACUCCAUUCCUCGUGAUAUAUCGAGAGCUAACCUCAGUAUUGUUUCUGUCGAAAGAGAGUAGGGCUCUUUCUUGUUGAGAUACAUCCUCAGUGUUCCUUGUGACAUGUAUUCUGUGAUGAUACAGUACACCGGUGGCCUUUUACAAGCUGCAAUGAACUGCACUAUGUUGGGAUGAAAGAGACGCGAAAGCAAAGCAACUUCUGAUUUAAAUUGCUGCUCAAGCAAAGCUCGAGUCUCCUCGUUUUGUUUUGGAAUUCUCACCAUUUUCACAGCAACAGCUCUCUGCUUAUAUAUUCCACGAUAAAUCCUACUGUGUGCCCCAGAGGCAAACUUGUUACCUAUAAACAGCUGCGAAAGGUCAGCAGUCCAUUCGUCUUGAUCCUCCUUUGAUGCCUCCCAGGCCUCCAUAUUCUCAGACUCCAAUAUCAUUGACCAUGAUUCCAAGCUGUCAAAUCUCUUCUUCUCCAUGUUCUCCAUGUCAGAGUUCAACUGGGUUUUCGAUGAGGAAGGAAUUGUUAACGGUUUGCUAUUCGAUCUACGAAGGCGAAACGCAUGGAAACAUGAACCCGCCAUUUGAAGCGGCUCUUCUUUCUCUAGCACUUGCUAUAGUAGGGAGGGUGUUUGUCGCUGUGCAGGAUAUUGUGCGUGUCAAAACAAACAAUCAAAAGGAGUUUUCCUUCUGAAUGUGUGAAUUGAUUUUAGAAAGUGCAUGAACUGAUUCAAAAACAUGGAUUCCGCAGAAAAAUUGAAAGGAAAGAUGGGUUUUCAUGAAUCGAUCGAAACAAGGACGAAAGGAAACCAUACCGAAUUCUUGAGAGGGAAAAAAAGAAAACAGAGCGAGUUAAUCAACAGAGCAGUUUCCAUUUGAAAAGAUGCUUACUUUGGAAAAGAAAAGGAGAUGCCAUCAUAGUUCAUAGAGACAUGUAAUAGAAAAAUAAAUUUCAUGUUAUGGGGAUUCGAUCAUGCAAACGAAAUUCAUGAAGAUGCACAGAGGGAAGAGACUUUCACGGCUCAUUUCCAAGAGAUCAGGCCGUAUGAUGAAUUCAAAGCAGAGACUUCCGGGAGGUCUCGUGAACGCCCCCCAUUCACAAGUUGGGAGCCUUUUUGUUCUCUGUUUCUGUUUUCCGUUUCCCUUUGGACCAUAAAUGCUAAGUGGCCACAGCUGUAAAAAGGUUUUCAUUCAUGAGAGAGAUGAUUGACAGGUUGAGCUUUGCAUAUGAUUCAAAACUUGGGAUAUAUGCCCAAUUGCCUAUCCUUUAUACUUUGUAUGUAUACGUGGAGACUGAAUGGAGAAACAAUUGGCAGAUCACUCACCAACCAUUGCAAUCACUCCAUUUUCCUUUUUCCUGUAUUGACUGAUUGCUCUGGUUAAAUUACAUAGGCAACCACUGGAAUGAUUUUUUGGGAGCUUCUCCUUCAUCCUGGUGUGAACCAAUCCAAUGUACGCCAUAGUUGCAUGUGAU